rnacentral:rRNA from 1 species
GACGGGGGGGCGAAGUGUUCUUCGGAAUGACUGGGCGUAAAGGGCACGUAGGCGGUGAUCGGGUUGAAAGUGAAAGUCGCCAAAAAGUGGCGGAAUGGCUCUCGAAACCAAUUCACUUGAGUGAGACAGAGGAGAGUGGAAGUUUCGUUGUGUAGGGGUGAAAUGACGCAGAUAUCAGGAAGAACGACCCGUGGCGGAAGGCGGCUCUCUGGGACGGUACUGGACGCUGAAGACGCGAAAGCGUGGGGAGCGAACAGG